AGAAAAAGUGUGGGAUUUCAAGGGAUUAAGCUAAUAAAGGUGGUGAAUCCUUCGAUAAAGGUAAGGAAAUUGUACUCGAGGAUCGGUAGUCAGAGUACUCUAGAAAUUCGACUCCCCGAAAUAGUUCAGAUUAGGCUGUAGAUAGCUGAGUUCAUCGAGGACUA